rnacentral:ncRNA from 12 species
CCCUGUUCCCGGAAUCGCAUUGAAAAGUGUAACCCUCCUGACUGGAGGCACUUACUUUAACUCAUUAAAUCCAAAAGUCGUUUAUGAGGGAUACCUUAUAAAUUCCUUGUCUCCGGACUACUCUUGAUUGAGGAUUGGUAGAGCUAGAGUGCUGCGUGUUAUGAUACUAAGGUAACGAUAGAGUCGGUCUCGCAAGAAGGGUUUUACCCUCGCCAAAGUUAACAGUUGUGGCAUAACUGGAACCAAAGUGGUAUGCCAAAUAAGAGAUUUCUCGUGAUGUCCAAGUGAUUGGGCUAUAAGAUUUUAUCGGAUCUUUUUCCUUAAGAGGCAGUUUACAAUAACUAUUGGUGUGUUAAGGAAAAAGCGGGUCUGCCAAUGACGCCCGGGACUAGAAAUGCGGUGAGAGUAACCAGUGUCGCUAACUGGGGCAUUCUCUCAUCAUCCUGUGACUGAGUAAGUAGCAAUAACAAUGACGUGGUAGGGGUAACGCCCCAAUGCUUUUAUGGAGAGGU